CGCGGCCUAUCAGCUUGUUGGUGGGGUGAUGGCCUACCAAGGCGACGACGGGUAGCCGGCCUGAGAGGGUGUCCGGCCACACUGGGACUGAGAUACGGCCCAGACUCCUACGGGAGGCAGCAGUGGGGAAUAUUGCACAAUGGGCGCAAGCCUGAUGCAGCGACGCCGCGUGGGGGAUGACGGCCUUCGGGUUGUAAACCUCUUUCACCAUCGGCGAAGCCCGUAGCUUUUGUUGUGGGUGACGGUAGGUGGAGAAGAAGCACCGGCCAACUACGUGCCAGCAGCCGCGGUAAUACGUAGGGUGCGAGCGUUGUCCGGAAUUACUGGGCGUAAAGAGCUCGUAGGUGGUUUGUCGCGUUGUCCGUGAAAUUCCCUGGCUUAACUGGGGGCGUGCGGGCGAUACGGGCAGACUGGAGUACUGCAGGGGAGACUGGAAUUCCUGGUGUAGCGGUGGAAUGCGCAGAUAUCAGGAGGAACACCGGUGGCGAAGGCGGGUCUCUGGGCAGUAACUGACGCUGAGGAGCGAAAGCGUGGGGAGCGAACAGGAUUAGAUACCCUGGUAGUCCACGCCGUAAACGGUGGGUACUAGGUGUGGGUUUCCUUCCUUGGGAUCCGUGCCGUAGCUAACGCAUUAAGUACCCCGC
rnacentral:rRNA from 1 species